ACAUUUUAGAGGUGUAUUUGACUGAACGGAACGAACGAAAAAAACGAUAAAGCUUGAAAACAACGGAAAUAAUGAUUUUUUGAUUUUUUUUACUGUCAUUUACAAGCAAAACGGAAAACGCCUAUGAUCUAUUCUGUGAACGCAUGUUUUUUUUUCGAAUUUGAAUUUUAGAUUGUUUUUAUUGUUUAAAUUUGGAUUGGUUCUCAAAGUUUCAAAGGAAACAACCGAGGAAAACUAGGACGAAUCGUGACUGGUAGCCAGUGUGGAAAUGUAAAAAAAAACUUGUCAAUAUUAUCAUAUUAUCAUAAAGAAUAUUUUUUUUAUUAUUUCUUUAGAGAGCUCUACAGUUGUUUAAGCAACAGAACCGAUCACUGUGGAACAGUUUAUCGGUAGCAUCAAUUCGCAAACGCAAGCGAAACAACAAUUUAGGACACCAACGUAAAACACCGAUUCGGACUCUGUACCUGACGCGACAACGGACUGGAUAGAAUGUGCAGCGUAAGGGCUUUAGGUAAAUGACUAGGC